CAGGCCGGGGACUUUUCAAUUGACCCUAGUACUUCAAAAGACAAAAACUACACUUUAACGACCUAUUCUAAUAAUUCUGCUUUCUAAAUCUACAGCCAAACUUUAAGACAACCCUAGUCAAGGAGAAAUUGGUGUAAAUAUACAUAAGAAACUUAUUUUUAUUACUUUUCAUUUUUUUACUUUUGGAGAAAACACAAAGUGGCGAAAGGUAUAUCCCAUAGGUACAUAAAGAUUUUUUGUAAGCAGGUAUACCUAUUAAUUCUACCGACACAAGAGACAUAGAGUUCCUCUCUAUGAUCAAGGAGGAUAAACUCCAUGUAUACAAAAAUUAUGCGUGUCAACUCUGACACGUGAGUGGAGAUUACUCCGGAAGAACGAUUACCUUAAAAUAUAUAAUAUAGGCAAAAGAAGUGAAUCCAUAUAUUUACUUAUAUUGAUUUGAUAAAAUACAUUACAUAAAUUAUAUAGCAUAAUAAAUAUUAA